AGUCCUCAGGCCCUGGGACAGCUGCUGAGGAAGGAGAGCAGACCCAGGAGAGCCAUGAAGCCUAGGAAAGCUGAGCCUCAUAGCUUCCGGGAGAAGGUUUUCCGGAAGAAACCUCCAGUCUGUGCAGUAUGUAAGGUGACCAUCGAUGGGACAGGCGUUUCGUGCAGAGUCUGCAAGGUGGCGACGCACAGAAAAUGUGAAGCAAAGGUGACUUCAGCCUGUCAGGCCUUGCCUCCCGCGGAGUUGCGGCGAAACACGGCCCCAGUCAGGCGCAUAGAGCACCUGGGAUCCACCAAAUCUCUGAACCACUCAAAGCAGCGCAGCACUCUGCCCAGGAGCUUCAGCCUGGACCCGCUCAUGGAGCGGCGCUGGGACUUAGACCUCACCUACGUGACGGAACGCAUCUUGGCCGCCGCCUUCCCCGCGCGGCCCGAUGAACAGCGGCACAGGGGCCACCUGCGCGAGCUGGCCCACGUGCUGCAAUCCAAGCACCGGGACAAGUACCUGCUCUUCAACCUUUCAGAGAAAAGGCAUGACCUGACCCGCUUAAACCCCAAGGUUCAAGACUUUGGCUGGCCUGAUCUGCAUGCUCCACCCCUGGACAAGCUGUGCUCCAUCUGCAAAGCCAUGGAGACGUGGCUCAGUGCUGACCCACAGCACGUGGUCGUACUAUACUGCAAGGUGGGACGGGACCUCGGGUUCCCUGGUGCCUGGAGGUUCCAGGUCAGCCUGGAGCCCCCAGACCCUCACCCCUGUCUCUCUGUCUGUCAGGGAAACAAGGGCAAGCUCGGGGUCAUCGUUUCUGCCUACAUGCAUUACAGCAAGAUCUCUGCAGGGUGAGGCUCCCAGCGCCUGAGUAGCCACUUCCCCAGUGGCCCUUUCUCCAGCUGGCCCCUUAGGAACCCAUUUCCCCUGGAGCCCACCUCUUCGUUGAGAGUCCUUUGCUGUCAGCUUAGCAUUUCCAUCUCCCUUUUAUCACUAGUACUGUAACACAGUCUGCAGCAGAUGGUCUGUAGAGCUUCCUGGGGCAGCCACAAACAGGGUGCUGUAAAACAGUGGAAAUGGGCCCGGUGCAGUGGCUCACGCCUGUAAUCCCAGCACUUUGGGAGGCUGAGGUGGGCGGGUCACCUGAGGUCAGGAGUUUGAGACUAGCCUGGCCAGGUGAAACCCCGUCUGUAAAAAUAUAAAAACAUAAAAAUUAGCUGGGCGUGGUGGUGGGUGCCUGUAAUCCCAGCUACUCAGGAGGCUGAGGCAGGAGAAUUGCUUGAACCCAGGAGAUGGAGGUUGCAGUGAGCCCACAUGGUGCCACUGCACUCCAGCCUGGGUGACAGAGUCAGACUCCAUCUCAAAAAAAACAAAAACAAA
rnacentral:sRNA from 1 species